rnacentral:tRNA from 1 species
GGUGAUAUGGCUCAGUUGGUAGAGUGCUUGCUUUGCAUGCACAAGGCCCUGGGUUCAAACCCCAGCACCA